ACAAUCAGCGGAACAGUUUUUGAAUAAAUAUUUACAAGGCAUACCGGAAUGUGAUAGAACAUUAAAAUCAAAAAUUCUAAUGGGUAAAAAUUACAACAGCAAAACUUAAAAAUAAUUGGACCAAAAAAUUAAAUUCACGCAAGCUUUCAAAUGAUAGCGGCUGAAAAGAUUUGGAAGUCACUAAUACAAGAUAAGAUACAGAAAGCCGUAGUCAUCAUAAAUUAAACAACACCACCUAUGCAAAACAAAUUUUGUAUAUCUAUAGUCUCUUGUAUCAGCUAAUAACAGUGUGACAGCAAAAUGAAGCGGAUCAAUUAAAACAGGAAAAAUAUAGCCUUUUUGGACGGUUCACAAAACUAGUUUUGCGUAGGUGGAUACUGAAAAGUUUCGAAGACAAGACGCGAUGGGGCUGACGGCGGCCGACGCGGCGGUGCGGAACUGCCGUUCAACGCGGCGCCCGGCAGACACACCCAGUUAACGCAUGCGCGUCCAUC